rnacentral:rRNA from 1 species
AUAACCCCGGGAAACUGGGGAUAAUACCCCAUAGACUAUAGAUGCUGGAAUGCUUUGUAGUUGAAAGGUCAGCCGCCAUAGGAUGGGUCUGCGGCCGAUUAGGUAGUUGUUGGGGUAACGGCCCAACAAGCCUGUAAUCGGUACGGGUUGUGGGAGCAAGAGCCCGGAGAUGGAUUCUGAGACACGAAUCCAGGCCCUACGGGGCGCAGCAGGCGCGAAAACUUUACAAUGCGGGAAACCGUGAUAAGGGAACUCCGAGUGCCCGUUAAAUCGGGCUGUCCACCAGUUUAAAAAACUGGUGAAGAAAGGGCCGGGCAAGACCGGUGCCAGCCGCCGCGGUAAUACCGGCGGCUCGAGUGGUGGCCACUAUUACUGGGCUUAAAGCGUUCGUAGCUGGUUUGUUAAGUCUCUGGGGAAAUCUUCCGGCUUAACCGGAAGGCGUCUCAGGGAUACUGGCAGACUAGGGACCGGAAGAGGUGAGGGGUACUCCAGGGGUAGGAGUGAAAUCCUGUAAUCCUUGGGGGACCACCUGUGGCGAAGGCGCCUCACCAGGACGGCUCCGACAGUGAGGGACGAAAGCUGGGGGAGCAAACCGGAUUAGAUACCCGGGUAGUCCCAGCCGUAAACGAUGUGCGUUAGGUGUAUCGGUGACCACGAGUCACCGAGGUGCCGAAGAGAAAUCGUGAAACGUACCGCCUGGGAAGUACGGUCGCAAGGCUGAAACUUAA